UUUAGUAAAAGCUUUAAUCAUUGCUAUUGAUAUACAACCGUUGCAAUAGAGUGAUUUAUAGCAACACUUGCAUAAACCGUCACCAUAAAACCACCUUUGGCAACGCUUAAUUGAGUAAAAAAGCUAUUGCAACGACUUUAAUUUUUUUCCUCCCCAAUUUUUUACAAAGCGCCCCAAAAUAUAAUGAAUUAUAUCACAAAAAAUAAAAUAAAUUAAAAAAUAACUGAUCCACUUUGGUGUCAAGGGUUAACACACUAAGUAAAUCUUCAAAUCAAAAUGUUUGGGUGUCCGAUCAUCGUUUACUCCAGAUCGAUCAACUGCUCCGAAUCGAUUGAUCUUCAAAUCAAUGAUCUAGGCUCCAGUACACAUCCGAUCGAUCGAGUGCUCCACAUCUCAAAUCAGUGGUCCGAUCUACUACUGCUCUGACCACCGAUGCUCCGACCGCUUUCGAUUGAAUUUUAGUAAUCUAUUGAAGCAGGGUGGAAUUCUACAGUUUGUGGAAUUCUUGUAUCUCUCUGUUCACUCAGUGGCGUCGUACUAGGUACCCUCUGUUAAUUUUGACAAAUACAACAAUAACUUCCAAAUUCUUUUUUGUUUUCUCACAAAUAGUACAAUUGUACAUUGUCAAACACAAUUAGUGCCAUGAAAACUGAUGGAAUGGCUUUAUUUACUAAUGAAAGAGAGAAUUAGAUAAGGAGAAAGAACACGAGGUUUGAGUUACGGAUAGGGAUGCUGAGUGGAGUCUGGGAUUAAAUAUAGAUUCCGGUGGUGGUGCUGGUGGUGAGGACGAUGAUAAUGAUAGCCAAGGUGGUGUUGGGAUUUUGCACAAGAAUUUGACUUUAUCUAGCAGUGCACUUCAGGGACUGCUUAGGAAAUUGGGUGCUGGAUUGGAUGAUUUACUCCCUAGCUCUGCAAUGGGGUCAGCAUCAUCGUCUCACCGGAGUGGACGACUCAAGAAGAUAUUAGCUGGUUUAAGGGCAAAUGGCGAGAAAGGGAAAUAGGUAGAGGCUUUGAUGCAGCUGAGUGAGAUGCUUUCCAUUGGAACAGAAGACUCCCUGUCCACAUUUUCUAUGUAUUCAUUUGUUCCAGUACUUUUGGGUUUAAAUUACUAGCUUGUUGCAUAUUUUGAAUUAUGAGAUUAUUAAUUAAUGAUUUUAUUGUGUGAUG